AUGAGCGAUGGGGUGACGCAGUAGGGUAGUGACGCGGACUGAUGGAUGUCCGUCUAAGCAGUGAGGCUGAUGUGUAGGCAAAUCCGCACAUCGUAAGGCUGGGCUGUGAUGGGGAGCGAAAAUUACAGUAGCGAAGGUCAUGAUCUCAGACUGCCAAGAAAAGCCUCUAGCCAGGAGAAGGUGCCCGUACCGCAAACCGACACAGGUAGGCGAGAAGAGAAUUCUAAGGCGCGCGGAAGAACUCUCGUUAAGGAACUCGGCAAAAUGACCCCGUAACUUCGGGAGAAGGGGUGCCUCGGUAGGGUGAAUAGCCCGAGGGGGCCGCAGUGAAAAGGCCCAAGCGACUGUUUAGCAAAAACACAGGUCUGUGCGAAGCCGCAAGGCGAAGUAUACGGGCUGACGCCUGCCCGGUGCUGGAAGGUUAAGGGGAGUGGUAAGCCUUCGGGCGAAGCUAUGAACCGAAGCCCCAGUAAACGGCGGCCGUAACUAUAACGGUCCUAAGGUAGCGAAAUUCCUUGUCAGGUAAAUUCUGACCCGCACGAAUGGCGUAACGACUUGGGCGCUGUCUCAACGAGAGAUCCGGUGAAAUUUUAAUACCUGUGAAGAUGCAGGUUACCCGCGACAAGACGGAAAGACCCCAUGGAGCUUUACUGCAGCUUGAUAUUGAAUUUGGGUACGAUCUGUACAGGAUAGGUGGGAGCCGU
rnacentral:rRNA from 1 species